GAUUGAUGGUGCUUGCACCUGAUUGAUUUUGGUCGCCAACGAGUGGCGGACGGGUGAGUAACACGUAGGUAACCUGCCCAGAAGCGGGGGACAACAUUUGGAAACAGAUGCUAAUACCGCAUAACAACGUUGUUCGCAUGAACAACGCUUAAAAGAUGGCUUCUCGCUAUCACUUCUGGAUGGACCUGCGGUGCAUUAGCUUGUUGGUGGGGUAAUGGCCUACCAAGGCGAUGAUGCAUAGCCGAGUUGAGAGACUGAUCGGCCACAAUGGGACUGAGACACGGCCCAUACUCCUACGGGAGGCAGCAGUAGGGAAUCUUCCACAAUGGGCGCAAGCCUGAUGGAGCAACACCGCGUGAGUGAAGAAGGGUUUCGGCUCGUAAAGCUCUGUUGUUAAAGAAGAACACGUAUGAGAGUAACUGUUCAUACGUUGACGGUAUUUAACCAGAAAGUCACGGCUAACUACGUGCCAGCAGCCGCGGUAAUACGUAGGUGGCAAGCGUUAUCCGGAUUUAUUGGGCGUAAAGAGAGUGCACGCGGUUUUCUAAGUCUGAUGUGAAAGCCUUCGGCUUAACCGGGAGAAAUGUGUC
rnacentral:rRNA from 1 species